GACGAACGCUGGCGGCGUGCUUAACACAUGCAAGUCGAACGGAAAGGCCUAGCUUGCUGGGUACUCGAGUGGCGAACGGGUGAGUAACACGUGGGUGAUCUGCCCCUGACUUUGGGAUAAGCCUGGGAAACUGGGUCUAAUACCGGAUAUUCAUUUUUCCUCGCAUGGGGAUUUGUGGAAAGCUUUUGCGGUUGGGGAUGGGCCCGCGGCCUAUCAGCUUGUUGGUGGGGUAAUGGCCUACCAAGGCGACGACGGGUAGCCGACAUGAGAGGGUGAUCGGCCACACUGGGACUGAGACACGGCCCAGAAUCCUACGGGAGGCAGCAGUGGGGAAUAUUGCACAAUGGGCGCAAGCCUGAUGCAGCGACGCCGCGUGAGGGAUGACGGCCUUCGGGUUGUAAACCUCUUUCAGCUCAGACGAAGCGCAAGUGACGGUAGGAGCAGAAGAAGCACCGGCCAACUACGUG
rnacentral:rRNA from 1 species